rnacentral:rRNA from 1 species
UCGGGAAUCUUCCGCAAUGGGCGAAAGCCUGACGGAGCGACACCGCGUGAGGGAUGAAUGCCUUCGGGUUGUAAACCUCGUUAUAAGCACCGGCUAACUACGUGCCAGCAGCAGCGGUCAUACGUAGGGUGCGAGCAUUACCCGGUCUUACUGGGCGUAAAGAGUUCUGUAGGCGGAUAUAUAAGUUGGGGGUCAAAUACCUCGGCCCAACCGAGGGAAGGCUCUCAAUACUGUUUAUCUAUGAGGUGACUAGGGGAUAGCGGAACGUAUGGUGUAGCAGUGAAAUGCGUUGAUAUCAUACGGAACACCAAGGGGGAAGCCAGCUAUCUGGGGUUAACCUGACGCUGAGAGACGAAAGCGUGGGGAGCGAAACGG